rnacentral:lncRNA from 1 species
AAUGUUUUUAGUAUUUAUCGAAAUUUUGUUUACAAGAUUAUAUAAUGAGAAUUAUGGCUUGAAAUUUAUUAUUGAAGAGGAGCGCAGUGCUGCUGCUGAGAUUCACAACAGCAGCAUUGGAUCUUGCAUUGCUGGCUAUAGCAAACCCACUGCACUUCACACUAAUCCUCCAUGGAACACCAUGGACUCAUAUGCAAGAGGCGGAGGACUAUGCUCCUCAUCAGCUAGAUUUCUGAAGACUCUCCUAUGCCCAAUCCUCUGUGCG